UACGUAUGGUGCAAGCGUUAUCCGGAUUUACUGGGUGUAAAGGGAGCGCAGGCGGCACGGCAAGCCUGAUGUGAAAGCCCGCGGCCCAACCGCGGGGCUGCAUUGGGAACUACCGGGCUGGAGUGCCGGAGAGGUAGGCGGAAUUCUUAGUGUAGCGGUGAAAUGCGUAGAUAUUAGGAGGAACACCAGUGGCGAAGGCGGCCUACUGGACGGUGACUGACGCUGAGGCUCGAAAGCGUGGGGAGCAAACAGG
rnacentral:rRNA from 1 species